rnacentral:tRNA from 1 species
GGGCGAGUGGCGGAACUGGUAGACGCACUAGCUUCAGGAGCUAGCGAGAGCAAUCUCAUGAGGGUUCGAGUCCCUCCCCGCCCACCA